UUCAAACAAGCCAACCAUUGUUCAACACCUUGUCACUUCCUCCUUUCUCUUAUAUUCCUACCCCACAAAAAGCACAAAUCGACAUUAACAGUAGACCUCAAAUCAGCGAAGGCUAUUUGGUUCCUAAAAUCGACCGAUCUCACUCAUCUAGACGUCACAACUGUAUACGAAAGUAACGAAGCAUUCUGGUGACCAUGAAGAAUUUACCUAAGAAACA